rnacentral:rRNA from 1 species
GCAUGGGCGAAGCCUGAUGCAGCAACNCCGCGUGAGGGAUGACGGCCUUCGGCCUUGUAAACCUCUUUUAGUAGGGAAGAAGCGAAAGUGACGGUUCCUGCNGAAAAAGCACCGGCUAACUACGUGCCAGCAGCCGCGGUAAUACGUAGGGUGCAAGCGUUGUCCGGAAUUAUUGGGCGUAAAGAGCUCGUAGGCGGNUUGUCGCGUCUGCUGUGAAAUCCCGAGGCUCAACCUCGGGCUUGCAGUGGGUACGGGCAGACUANAGUGCGGUAGGGGAGAUUGGAAUUCCUGGUGUAGCGGUGGAAUGCGCAGAUAUCANGAGGAACACCGAUGGCGAAGGCAGAUCUCUGGGCCGUAACUGACGCUGAGGAGCGAAAGCGUGGGGAGCGAACAGGAUUAGAUACCCUGGUAGUCCACGCCGUAAACGUUGGGCGCUAGAUGUAGGGACCUUUCCACGGUUUCUGUGUCGNAGCUAACGCAAGUAAGCGCCCCGCCUGGGGAGUACGGCCGCAAGGCUAAAACUCAAAGGAAUUGAC